ncrna:unclassified sequences skipping-rope RNA
UGGUUUAGAAGUAGAGAAUGUGCUGCUACGCACCCUUUGGGUCAAAAGAAAUGUGGAAUUGGCACACCACCGUAACCA